UUUCAUAGUAGAAUCAAUGUCUGGGGACUUGCUAAGAAACUCCGGGCUGAAGGAAUCCAGGCAGAGGAAUUAUGUGGCUUCCCAUGGAAAAGUCAAAAGCAUUCCUCCUGGCUUUCUUGGCUACUAGCUACUUCUUAUGUCAUUUCCUGCAGUCAUUAUCAAAAGAAGUCUGUGCAGAAGAAACGCAUAUGUUCCAUAAGAGUCAGCCCAUUGUGUGCUUCUAAUAAUGUUACAUAUCCCAAUUUCUGCGUGUACUGUUUCAUCAACAUAGCUUUGGAUUUCACUCUUCGAAUCCAAUUCAAUGGAAAAUGUCUGAAGUCUACUUCUUGAUUAUUCUUCAUUCAGCAUAAGUGAGACAUUUGAAUCAAGCAUCAUCUUUUCUUCAUAAGGCAAAAUUCAUUAUUAUUACCUUUAAAAAUCAAUAAAUUUGAUCUUGUGAAAAGCUC